ensembl:snRNA U6 U6 spliceosomal RNA
GUGCUCUCCUUGGUAGCACAUUUGUUAAAAUUAGAGCAACACAGAGAAGCUUAGCAUAGUCUCUGCACAAGGAGAAAAUGGGAAUUUGUGAAGCAGUCUAUAUUAUU